AUUUUGAUAGAUCUUGUCUUGUAUAGGAUUAUGUAAUACUUUCCUUUUUUUCAGUAUAAAAUACAGUAUGAGUGAUCCAAAAGAAGUGUGAUACAUUAUGCUUCUUUUGUGGGGAAGAACAAAAAUUAAACAACUAAUAGAUAAGAAUUAGAUAUUCUAGUCUCUUACAUAUAUCAAAGACCAUUGAGUUGCACACAUUUACCUCUGUAUUAAGCCUUGUCAUUUGCCUUUAUCCAAAACACAUCCUAAAAACUCUUCCAGGGCCAAAGCCAACAGAAGUCUCUGUUUUACUGCAUACAGGAUGAGUUGAACCAUUUCAAAUUGAUGUCCUGAAAAGCAGGUUAUUCUGGGAGGUGAGCAGCCCAGAGCUUAGCAGUAGGAAAUGUUACGCUGGGGAAGGAUGUGAAAUCCUGUCCCUCCCGUGCUGCAGUGGCUGAGUCAGGACUCCAGAUAAUUGUCACUAUCUGCUCAUGAUUCAGAGCUUGCAUGUAAGUACUUGCAUGUUUUUUUCCAGGAUUGUUCUUUUGAUCUGAAAUACAGAAAAUAUGGUCGCCUUUUGAAUAUUAGUUUCUGGUUAGAGAUCUCACAGGAGAUAAGAGACAUGGAUGAUGUUUGCUUCUGUGACAUGAUACAGAUUCACAUCCCCAAGUUUCCAGAAGGCUGAAUUCACCACCAAACUGAAUGUGCUGCAAAGAAGAUGCUCUAUGCCUCUGUUGGAGCUGUCAUUAUGCAAAAGGAGAGCUAGAAAGAAAAUUAGCAAAGGAGGAACUAACUAUAGCUAAGUGUUCAAAACACAUAGCUUGGAGCAGGGAAGGUAUAUUCUUUCCAGAUUAUUUAUGCAUGUAAUUUUAAACAGUGUUGGAUAAAAAUAAACCUGGCAGUAGAAAUGAGAAGUUAUUAACUCUGCUGGUUUUACAUCUCAUUAAAGCUGUUCAAUGCAGCUUGCUUAUGCAAUGUGAGCCUCUGCCUUGUAUUUUUCAGAAUCACCCACUCUCCAGAUGCAUCUUCCCCUUCCUUCGUAUGUUAAAGUGUACUUUCAUAUAUAAGGCUGUGCUUGCUGUCCCCACCUUAUCACACUGCCAGAUUUUGGUCAUAAGCACUCAAAUCAAAAGCUGUUAUUGGAAACGCUGAGUAGAGUUCUUACAAUAAUCUGCAGAAAUUCACUGCUGAUGGUCCCAUUCAUUCGUGAGAGUUUGAUGACAAUUUCUUUUUAAGAUGUCUGAUGAUUCUUAAUCUAUGGGACAAUGCCUUUUAUUGAUCUUCUUUAAUUCUAAAUUUUUAAUAGACCUAACUAAAGAAGGUAGCUUUUACCUGCACUAUACCUCAGGAUUGUUUGGGGUUUUUUUGGUAUGAGAUGCAAUGUGGUGAUGUGAGCAUUCCCUGAUGUAUAAUGCUUCUAGACAAGUAGGAAAGAUGCAUCACAUAUACUGAAUUUUAAAAAUAUCAUUAGUGUCACCUAUGUGUCACCAGUACCCUCAAGAAUCUGGUGCUCUUGCUUACCUAGGUUUCAUUGCAAGAAUGUGCCUAUGCUGACUGUAACCAGCCUUUCCCUGAAGGCGUCUCGUAUUUCUCCUUCCACUGCUGAUUUGUUAAUUGGCAAACAGAGAGGAAAGGAAAUCAGAUUUCUCCAUACCUUGCCAUGUUUCCUAUAGGACUCUUGUCAUUUUAUUUCCAGUUAUUCUGUCAGUUUAUUUGCUAUUAAUCACGGAAUCACAGAAUCAUUUAGGUUGGAAAAGACCUCCAAUAUCACUGAUUCCAACCUUUGACCAAGCACUACCUUGUCAACUAGACUAUGGCACUAAGUGCAAACAACAUCCAGUUGUUUCUUGAACACCUUCAGGGAUGGCGAUUCCACCACCUCCCUGGACAUUCUGUUCCAAUGCUGAACAACCCUAUCCAUGAGGAAGUUCUUCUUGAUGUCCAACCUAAACAUCCCCUGGCACAGCUUGAGGCUAUGUCCUAUCCUCCUGUCACUAGAGAGAAGAGACUGACCUCCACUUGGCUACAACCUCCUUUCGAGUAGUUGUAGAGAGUUACAAAGUCAUCCCCGAGCUUCCUCUUCUCCAGGCUAAACAACCCCAGUUCCCUCAGCUUUUCCUCAUAGAACUUACUCUCUAGAUCCUUCCCCAGCUUCGUUGCCCUUCUCUGGACUUGCUUCAGCACCUCAAUGUCUUUCUUGCAAUGAGGGGCCCAGAACUGGACACAGUACCUGAGGUGUGGCCUCACCAGUGCUGGGUAAAGAGGAACAAUCACUUCUCAGGCCAAAUACUAGAUAUUAGAUCUGGAGUCCUUCCAGUGGUAUUUUUAUAGGAAAGGUACCACAUUUUCAAUUCCACAAAUCUUUACCAUAAAGAAUUAUUGUAAUUAUCAUGUACAAAUUGUCACUGGUUGGCUACCCAUCCGGUCUUUCUCUUCUUCAUUUUGUGUUACUAUUAAAAUUUAUACUUCUUUUAUACUGUCUGAACUGCAAGCAGCUUCUUGUACUUUACUAUUCAAAUGUAGUCUUUAAUUUACACAUCUCUUAACUCUGUAGUGGGCUUUAAAAAAGUUUCCAGUUAAAGACCUGAAAGAUCCUUUUGUGUUGUUUCAAUUUUUUUAUUUAUUUUUUUCUUAAUUCACUGAAAACGGUUCGGUUUCAACUGGAUACCCAAGUAAAUGUCUUUUCUUGUGAGCCUCAGAAACAUGCUUCCAAAAAGCAAUGAUGGAAGUGUGGAGAAACGUCUUCAACUGGCAGCCUUUGAUCGGUUCCUUGCUUACACCCAAUGAACAGGAGAGGGAGCCAAUGUACUAAAAAGCUGCAGAAGAAUUGUAACCUGCACUUGAAGGGCUGUGAGCUCUGAUUCUUCAGUAGUGCCAGAGCCAAAUGUCACCACUGACACAACAUGCUUGAGUUACACUGAAGUUCAUGGCAUAGCUUUAAAGUUUGCUCCAGCUUCAGAUCUUACCUGAAAAGUACAGCUCCUUUUCCUGCAUGGCUGCAGCAGUAACCUCCAGUAACCAGGUCUCGGACACCCUUGACUUCUUCAAAAAGGGGGACGGCCUCCACUGAUCUUCCAGUUGAUCCUGAGGGACUUCAAAUGCAAGGUAAUUAUUGGGUAAGUAUUUCUUAUUACUUCAUCUGCAGAAGUUCACUUCAUUGGUGCACAUCAUAUGCUCAAUUUCUCUUUAUCGACCUAAUGUAAUAAGAGAGCUUGUAGCUUCACUGAAAAUAAUAGUAAAUAUCAAGUGUAUGUUUUAUGACAGCACUCAACAUCAAAAGGUUUCAGAGGCAGAUUUCUUAACUUUCAGUAGCACAGUUGCAUACGUCUAAAUAAAAGCUUUAUGGUAGCAUGAUGAGAAUCUUUAACUUGGAGUUUCAUAUUAGAAUAAGCAAAUAUUAAUGCAAUUCUGAAAUGUUUGAUCCUCUGGUGACCCAUCCUGCUUUCCUUUGCUGUCUACAGCUAUUACAGAUACAUGUCUCCAGAGAAUCAAAUAAAUGGUUGUAGUCAUUGCUAAAAUAUUCA